rnacentral:rRNA from 1 species
GACGAACGCUGGCGGCGUGCUUAACACAUGCAAGUCGAACGGAAAGGCUCCAGCUUGCUGGAGUACUCGAGUGGCGAACGGGUGAGUAACACGUGGGUAAUCUGCCCUGCACUCUGGGAUAAGCCUGGGAAACUGGGUCUAACACUGGAUAUGACCUUUCUCCUUAUGGGGUUUGGUGGAAAGUUUUUCGGUGUAGGAUGAGCCCGCGGCCUAUCAGCUUGUUGGUGGGGUGAUGGCCUACCAAGGCGACGACGGGUAGCCGGCCUGAGAGGGUGAUCGGCCACAUUGGGACUGAGAUACGGCCCAGACUCCUACGGGAGGCAGCAGUGGGGAAUAUUGCACAAUGGGCGGAAGCCUGAUGCAGCGACGCCGCGUGAGGGAUGACGGCCUUCGGGUUGUAAACCUCUUUCAGCAGGGACGAAGCGUAAGUGACGGUACCUGCAGAAGAAGCACCGGCUAACUAUGUG